rnacentral:rRNA from 1 species
CAAUAGCGUAUAUUUAAGUUGCUGCAGUUAAAAAGCUCGUAGUUGGAUUUCGGGUGGGAAUGGCCGGUCCGCUGUUUCGGUGUGCACUUGCUACGCCCACCUUGCUGCCGGGGACGUGCUCUUGAGUUCACGCUCGGGACACGGAGUCGGCGAGGUUACUUUGAGUAAAUUAGAGUGUUCAAAGCAGGCCUACGCUCUGAAUACAUUAGCAUGGAAUAACACGAUAGGACUCUGGCCUAUCUUGUUGGUCUGUAGGACCGGAGUAAUGAUUAAGAGGGACAGUCGGGGGCAUUCGUAUUUCAUUGUCAGAGGUGAAAUUCUUGGAUUUAUGAAAGACGGACUACUGCGAAAGCAUUUGCCAAGGAUGUUUUCAUUAA